GACGAACGCUGGCGGCGUGCUUAACACAUGCAAGUCGAACGAGUGGCGAACGGGUGAGUAAUACGUGGGUAACCUGCCCUCCUUUUUGGGACAAGCCUUGGAAACGGGGUCUAAUACCGAAUAAAGGGGGAUGGGCUCGCGGCCUAUCGGCUUGUUGGUGGGGUGAUGGCUACCAAGGCGUGACGGGUAGCCGGCCUGAGAGGGUGACGGGCCACAUAGGGACUGAGAGACGGCACAGACUACUACGGGAGGCAGCAGGAGGGGAUAUUGAACAAUGGGCGAAAGCCUGAUGCAGCGACGCCGCGUGGGGGAUGAAGGCCUUCGGGUUGUAAACUCCUUUCGACAGGGACGCGGUACCUGUAUAAGAAGCACCGGCGAACUACGUGCCAGCCGCCGCGGUAUAC
rnacentral:rRNA from 1 species